AUGCCGAUGGCGAGGAGAUCUUCGGGGCGCGGCGGCGGUGGGCCGGGGGUGGAGGUCACGAUGGUGAUGGAGCUAGCGGUGGCGGAAGACAACGUAAUCAUCAUCAACCGCCCCGACCAAGCUGGCCUCGGCUGCAACCUCUACAUCAACAUCUCGAGUUCGACCUUCGCAUCUCCCGCACCGGUGAUCCCCUCCACAUCCUUUCCGGAAGUUACAUAAGUUACUGCAUUCCCGCUGCACCAUUCUCGCGUGAGGUCUAUGAAGUUACUGUAUGCACGCUGUUAAUCAGUAGCAGCGGUUCAAUCAUAAGCAUAAACAAAAACUGGUAAGAUGUUGUAACCUGUUCUACAGGAAUCUUGUCCUGUUGCUAAUGGACUCCUCCGGCUCUGGCUGCUGGUCCAGUUGCCUUCGACAGCUCUCCCGCACCUUGGUUCGCUUUCGCCCGGACAACCGACCCGGCUCUCCUUUCGGACACAGAGGAACAACCUGGUAGCGAAUAUUAUUAGGAGUCGUUUUGCUUCAAGACCUGAACAGACUAGCAAUUGCUAGGGCUUCAAUCUGAUGUGUUGUACCACACAGUAUUCCUCUACCUGUGUAUUCCCACGAAUCCUAUUUCUUCCAGACAUAUGUGCCUUUCAGGAUUCGCUUCUACUAUUUUUGUUAUGUUUAGCCUUCUGCCAUCUAAUGCAUGGCGUGUUAAUCCUUCUUUAUAUCUUGCAGCAGUCAAUAAUGCAUGUUACAUCGGUUGGUUUUUUUAGUUACAUUUAUGCGGAAACUAUCUGAUUGAGUUUAGCUGAUGGCUACAAGAUGUGGGAUUAUUUCUGAUAGUAGGGUGCUUCAAUAUAUGCAUCUUACAAUUUGUUGCAAUGCUAAUGGCUACAUGACGUGCCAUUAUUUAUGUAUCUCUUUGUUCCAACUGUUCCAGUGAAAUGUGGUGAUGGAUUAAAUAUAGUACGGUACAAUAGCUUGGCAUGGAACAAUGAACAUGUAGCUUUUUCAGUCCGAGACAACUACUCUCUUUGGUGAUUUAGAGUUAUAAAUUUUAUAAAUUUCUCUAUUGUUCCUAUGAAGAGUAGAUGGUGACGCUGUUCCAAACAAUAAAAUAAAAGAAGCAGGCAUUAGCUUUUAUUCUACCCAGGUUAAAUUUCGAACCAGGAUUGACUUUAUCCUACAUUAACAAUUCCUCUCUGUUUUAGUUAGUGCAAUUCCAAGUUAGUUAUUCCAGGAAUAUCUGCAUGGAUUAUACUCUAUACCAUCUCAGAAUCUUUAUUCAUAAGAAAUAGUGUGAAGCUAGCAACUUAGGCUAAGGUGUGAAAAGAUUGUCUAAUUUACCAACUCUACUGGUGCUGGAUCACGCUUUUAAAAAAUGGUACAAUAUUAUUGCAUUUGUACUUCAAACUCAAAAUUUUACACAGGCAAAGCACUACGUUCUUGGCAAGAGAUUACCCUUUUAACUCUUCCUCUAUUACUCGAUAUAUGUUCAUGUAUUUAUCUUAGAAUUCUUCAGAAAUAUAAACAAGUGUACUCACAGCAACGUGCGGGGAAUCAUCUAGUAAAAUAAAAUGACGCUCCAAGCAAAACACAUAUAAUGUGAUGAAUGAAAACAUAGCUCCAAGUGAGGUUGCCGAUAAUGUUGGAGAUGAAAGGGGGGAUGCCUUCCGGGGCAUCCCCAAGCUUAGUUGCUUGGAUCUUCCUUGAAUAUUACCUUGGGGUGCCUUGGGAAUCCCCAAGCUUAGGGCUUGUCACUCCUUAUUCUCCUCAUAUCGACAUCUCACCCAAAACUUGAAAACUUCAAUCACACAAAACUUAACGGAACUUUGUGAGAUAGGUUAGUAUGAUAAAGAGCAAACCAUUUCACUUUGGUACUAUCAAGGACAAGAUUCAUAAUUUUUUCCACACAAUUCCUACUGUAGCAUAUCAUUUCCACAAUUUAUAUUGAGCAAUAUAAGCCAUAGAAACUAGAAAACAAGCAAACUAUGCAUUGAAAACAGAAUCUGUCAAAAACAGAACAGUCUGUAGUAAUCUGUACUCAAACCAUACUUCUGAUACUCCAAAAAUUAUGAAAAAAUUAGAACCACGUGAGAAAUUUGUACAUUAAACUUAUUCAAAAAUAAUCAACUCAAAAGAACUCUUAUGUUAAAAAUAAUAAUUAUUUUCGUGAGCGCAAAAGUUUCUGUUUUUCAGCAAGAUCAAAUCUACUACCACCCAACAUGAUCCCAAAGGCUUUACUUGGCACUUUAUUGAAACAAAAGCAAUAAAACAUGAUCAAUACAGUAGCAUAAUCAUGUGAACACACAAAAACAGUAGGUAAAAGUGUUGGGUUGUCUCCCAACAAGUGCUUUUCUUUAAUGCCUUAUAGCUAGGCAUGAUGAUUUCAAUGAUGCUCGCAUAAAAGAUAAGAAUUAAAACAUAAAGAGAGCAUCAUGAAGCAUAUGACUAGCACCUUUAAGUCUAACCCACUUCCUAUGCAUAGGGAUUUUGUGAGCAAAAAACUUAUGGGUACAAGAAUCAACUAGCAGAGGAAGGCAAAACAAGCAUACCUUCAAAACUUUCAACACAUAGAGAAGAAACUUGAUAUUAUUGCAAUAUGUAAAAGCAUAUGCCCCUCCCUCAUAAUAAUUUUCAGUAGCAUCAUGAAGAAAUUCAACAAUAUAACCAUCACAUAAAGCAUUCUUUUCAUGACACAAAAGCAUAGAAAAUUUAUUACUCUCCACAUAAGCAAAUUUAUUCUCAUCAAUAAUUGUGGGAGCAAACUCAACAAAAUAACUCUCAUGUGAUUGGAAAUUAAAAUCAUGAUGACAAGUUUCAUGUUUAUAAUUAUUCAAUAUAUUAUACAUGUCAUCACCAUAAUCAUCAUAUAUAGGAACUUUGUUGUCAUAAUCAAUUGCAACCUCCUCCAAAAUAGUGGAUUCAUCAUUAAAUAAAGUCACGACCUCUCCAAAUCCACUUUCAUCAAUAUAAUCAUCAUAAAUAGGAGGCAUGCAAUCAUUAUAACAAAUUUUCACAUCAAAUAUCGGGGGACUAUAAAUUUCAUCUUCAUCAAACAUAGCAUCCCCAAGCUUAUGGCAUUGCAUAUCAUUAGCAUCAUGGAUAUUCAAAGAAUUCAUACUAACAACAUUGCAAUCAUGCUCAUCAUUCAAAUAUUUUGUGCCAAACAUUUUAUUGACUUCUUCUUCUAACAAUUGAGCACAAUUUUCCGAACCGUCAUUUUCAAGAAAGAUAUUAUAAAGAUGAUCAAUAAUAUGAUGCAACCUCAGUUCCAUUUUUUAUGUAGUUUUCUUUUAUAAACCAAACUAGUGAUAAAACAAGAAACUAAAAGAUUCAAUUGCAAGAUCUAAAGAUAUACCUUCAUGCACUCACCUCCCCGGCAACGGCGCCAGAAAAGAGCUUGAUGUCUACUAUGCAACUUUAUUCUUGUAGACACGUGUUGGGCCUCUAAGCGUAGAGUUUUGUAGGACCAUAGCAAUUUUCCCUCAAGUGGAUGACCUAAAGUUUAUCAAUCCGUGAGAGGUGUAUAAUGAAGAUGGUCUCUCUCAAACGACCCUGCAACCAAAUACAAGAAAUCUCUUGUGUCCCCAACACACCCAAUACAAUGGCAAAUUGCAUAGGUGCACUAGUUCGGCGAAGAGAUGGUGAUAAAAGUGUAAUAUGGAUGGUUGAAAUAUAUUUUUAUAAUCUAAAUAAAUAAAAACAGCAAAGUAGCAAAUAGUAAACGGGCACAAAAACGGUAUUGCAAUGCUUAAAAACAAGGCCUAGGGUCCAUACUUUCACUAGUGCAAUCUCUCAAUAGUGCUAGUAUAAUUGGAUCAUAUAACCAUCCCUCAACGUGCAACGAAGAAUCACUCCAAAGUUCCUAUCUAGCGGAGAACAUAAGACGGAAUUGUUUGUAGGGUACGAAACCACCUCAAAGCUAUUCUUUCCGAUCAAUCUAUCCUAGAGUUCGUACUAAAAUAACACGAAGCUAUUCUUUCUGAUCGAUCUAACCAAGAGUUCAUACUAAAAUAACACCAAAGAAAAUUUAGAUUCAUAAUAUUCAAUCCAACACAAAGAAUUUCAAAGAGCUCCCCAGGAUUUCACCGGAGAAACAAAUACAAGAACGUGCAUCAACCCCUAUGCAUAGAUUACCCCAAUGUCACCUCGGGAAUUCGCGAGUUGAGUGCCAAAACAUAUAUCAAGUGAAUCAAUACGAUACCCCAUUGUCACCACGAGUAUUCAAUUGCAAGACAUAUAACAAGUGUUCUCAAAUCCAUAAAAGUAUUCAAUCCGAUAACAACGAAAUCUCAAAGGGAAAAACUCAAUUCAUCACAACAAGAUAGAGAGGGGAAAACACCAUAUGAUCCGACUAUAUUAACAAAGCACGCGAUACAUCAAAAUCGUGACAUCUCAAGAACACGAGAGAGAGAGAGAGAGAGAGAGAGAUUAAACACAUAGCUACUGGUACAAACCCUCAGCCCCGAGGGUGGACUACUCCCUCCUCAUCAUGGUGGUCGCCGGGAUGAUGAAGAUGGCCACCGGAGAGGGUCUAGAUUAGUUUUCGGUGGCUACAGAGCCUUGCGGCGGUGGAACUUCUGAUGUAGGUUAACCCCGAGGGUUUUCAGAAUAUUUGUGAAUUUAUAGGGUAAAGAGGAGGUGCGGGAGGCCACCGAGGUGGGCACAACCCAGCUGGGCGCGCCUGGGCGCCUGGCCCCCCAGGUGCGCCCUGGUGGGUUGUGCCCCCCUCGGGGCACCCCUAGGUGCUUCUCUGGCCCAUCCUGGGUGUUUUGGUCCAUAAAAAAUCUCCAAAAAGUUUUGCGGUGUUUGGACUCCGUUUGAUAUUAAUUUCCUGCGAUGUAAAAAACAAGCAAAAAACAGCAACUGCCACUGGGCAUUGGGUCAAUAGGUUAGUCCCAAAAAAUGGUAUAAAGUUGCUAUAAAAUGACUGUAAAACAUCCAAGAAUGAUAAUGUAACGGCAUGAAUACUUCAUAAAUUAGAGAUACGUUGGGGACAUAUCAGGUAUUUGUUGGCCAUGAAUGGAUUCCUCCUAGUUCAUGUUAGGGUCGAUCACCGUCACAUGUCGCUUAACAAAUGCUCGAGCUCAUGCGUUGUCAGGAUUCCCUCCCACAUGCUCGGAUUGCUUGGGUUCGACCUACAUCAUACCCUGCGUAUCUCGUCCUUAACUACCUUGCCUUCAUGAUUGUUGUCUGUAUCGAGAGGUAGGCACCACAUCUAAAUUGUACAUUAUUCUAUAUUGAAAACACACAUCACCCCUUCCCAGCGUACAUCAUUUUGGGCCGCAUGCAAGAGGUGCUGGUUUUGUGGUCCCUCUCGUGCGAUUUUUAUGAUGGUUCAAUCUAUUGGCCCAAGCGGUUUAUCGACAACAACAGCUGUCAUUUGACCAAACGAUAGAUUCAUUGGUCCGUCUUAUGGUAGGUCAUGGCGACAUGCAUGUAUGACCAAAGUAUCGAUCAUUACGUGCAUCCGCCCCACUGACACGAAGUGGGAGGUGGUGGGCCAAGCAUCCUAGCUAGGUACGACAUUAUGUCAUUAUAUAUAUAUAUAUGUAUAUAUAUACAGCCGGUCUAUUCUGCUAAUAUUAGCAGAAUAGUUAUUUUGAUAACACUUCCGCACUGCACUUUCAGUAGCAAGGGUACUGCAAUACAGAGACUAGUGAACUUCUCGUCGCAAAAAACUGCACGCGGUGUUUUCUUGGUACUAUUUUCGCUCCAGUUUUUAAAUGGUUUGUCGAGGCGUGUAAUAUACCGUUGAAAAGCUAUGGAUUAGGCGCAACUUUUCCAUGUUGAAAGUUUUUCAUAAUUCAUCAUGGUUUAAGAGCAGUUUCGAAAACAGUGCGGCGCACAAUGAGUGGCAGCGAGCGUUUUUUCACGGUUUUUUCCAAACCCCUAGUCAGAAUGAAGCAAAUUAUACACCGUUGGAAAGAUAUCAUCGAGGCGCAUCUUUUUCAUAUCUAUUAUUUUCUCUAAUUCGUUUCUGUUUAAGAGCAGUUUCAAAGUUACUAAAUCGCGGAAUUCUGUUUUUCAACUUUUUUCAAUUUUUUUGUACAGUUUUCGCUCCAGUUUUUUAACCGUUUGUCGGAACGGGGCACGUAAUAUACCAUUGAAAAUCUAUGGACGAGGUGCAACUUUUAUAUGUUGAAUUUGUUUUUGAGAUUCCUUACGGUUGUAAGUUAAUUUUUGAGAUUCCUUACGACGAGUGGCAGCGGCCGUUUUUCGCGAAAUUUUUACAAACCGCUGGUCGGAAUAAUUCAAACUAUACACCGUUGGAAAGAUAUCAACAAGGUGCAACUUUUUCAUGUAGAACACUCUCUCUGAUUCCUUACGGUUUAAGAGCGGUGUUAAAAAAACCGAAACGUGGACACUAUUUUUCACGACACCCAAAUCUUCGUGUGUACUUCAUGAGACAGAAGAACGCACUUCGUCAGACUAAAAACCGCACAGCAUCAGACGGGCUACCGAACUUCAUUGUUUUUUUUGUUAGACGUAAAUUUUCUCAGGCGAGGAAAGUGGAGUGUGCUUCACAUCGGGCAUAAGUGAACCGCAACACUGUCGAGAGCUAAGCCGCAUGAGAUUACAAAGUGAGCUUCACAUCGGAUCGGGCGUAAGUGAAUCGCAACAUCGAGAGGUGAGAUGCAUGAUAUUACAAAGUGAGCUUCACCUCGGGCAUAAGUGGACCGCAACACUAUCGAGAGGUGAGCUGCAUGAGAUUACAAAGUGAGCUUCACCUCGGGCGUAAGUGGACCGCAAAACUAUCGAGAGGUGAGCCACAUGACAUUACAAAGUGAGCUUCACCUCGGGCGUAAGUGGACCGCAAAACUAUCGAGAGGUGAGCCACAUGACAUUACAAAGUGAGCUUCAAAAUUUUAAAUACCAGACACUUUUUUGUUUACCAAGUGAACCACAUAGGAUUUUACACUGAAUCGCAUCUAAGCAUCAUUUUCUAUAACAAACUUGGCCUUGCAAUUAUGUUACACACAUAAUUCAUAUAAAAUUAAGUGAGGAUAGCACCACAAGGCCUUCAACCGGACUCUGAAACCGAAACUGCAUUGCACUGCUGCGGUACUGCACUACAUUGCACUGCGGUACUGCACUGAACACACAAACUCUGAACUUGUUGGGUUGGAUGGAUGUGCUGCUGCAAAAAUAAUCAAAAACUGCACUCAAACUGCAUGUUGUGGUCCGGACGCGAUGUGGACUCGCCAGAGAGAGUUUGCUCGGCAGAGGUGAGCUGCACGGGGGCGGCAAGCGAGCGGCACGGGGAGAGGCAACCGAGCUGCACAGAGGCUGGCAAUGCGGUGGGUCACCGGGGAACUGCACGGCUACAACGCGCGUACUGCACAGCCGCGACGCGUGGACUUCCCGGGAUCCAGCAACUGCAUAGGCGUGCCUCCGCCGACGAGGAUCCCGCAGGAACGGUUGGACGCCCGUGGGAGCAUUCCCUCAUCCCUUUGCCCACCCCGCGCCCGUGACAUGCAUCCCGCGGGAACGGAUCAGGUGCCAUCCAACGCUCCUCCUAUGGCAUCCUGUUCGUCGCCGGUGUGCCUGGGAGCCACGGCCUCUGCCAUUGACCUCGCCGUCGAUGGAGCACCUCCUCCCCAUCCUCCGAUCGGAAGGGCGCAGGGCAGGGGGCGGUCUCGGCGGCACGGGACAGGGGCACCCGCGCGGAUCUUGCCAGAUUUUGCGCCGAGCUGCACAAGCGGGGGUGGGGUGCGGGGGCCUUCUGCGCUGAGGGGCCGGCGGCGGCCGAAUCCAGUGGCUGAGGCCGCGCCGGGGGCCGAGGGCGGACGGAUCCCGCCAUGCCCGAUGGAUGGUGUGGGAGAAAGAGGAGGGUGGCGGACGGCGUAGAUGGUGACGCCCGUGGGACGCGGUCGGAGGUGGUGGUGGGCGGUGCCACCGGAGAAGAUGGGUUGGGUAGGGCUGCUCCGCACCGGAGAAGGCGGGGAGGGAGGUGGCGCGACGUGGGGAGGAAAGUGGGGCGCAGCGUGGGGAGGGAGGUGGGGCGCGGCGUGGGGAGGUGGCUGGCUGGAAGGGGCAGGGAGUUGAUGGAGGUCGUGGAACAAGGAGGAGGGAGUUUCUUUAUUUUGCCCCGUGCAGCUCGUCUCUUCUUUUUGCGGCGUUAGUUUGUAGCUACGGGUCAGCUCGGUACUGUUAGCAGAAUAAGCUUUUUUGUUAGCAGAAUAAGGUCUUAAGGGGUGUUAUCAUAUAUAUAUUUCUGCUAAUAUUAGUAGAAUAACUAUUCUGAUAACACUUCAGCACUGCACGCUCAACGUGUCGGCACUGCACUUUCAGUAACAAAGGUACUGCAAUACAAAGACUAGUGAACUUCCGUCACAAAAAACUGCACGCAGUGUUUUCUCGAUACUAUUUUUGCUCCAAUUUUUUAAUCGUUUCUUGGAAUGGGCGUAUAAUAUACCGUUGGAAAGCUAUGUCUUAGGUAUAAUUUCGACAUGCUGAACACUUUUUGAGAUUUCUAGCGGUUUAAGAACAGUUUCAAAAAUUGUGCGUCUCACGACGAGUGGCGGCAAGCGUUUUUUCGCGUUUUCUUCUAAACCGCUCGUUGGAAUGAAGCAAAUGAUACACCGUUGGAAAGAUAUCAUCGAGGCGCAUCUUUUUCAUAUCUAUUAUUUUUUCUAAUUCGCUACGAUUUAAGAGCAGUUUUAAAUUUAAUAAAUCAUGGAAUUGUGUUUUUUUGAAUUUUUUGCAAUUUUCGGUACUGUUUUAGCUUCUGUUUUUUAAUCGUUUGUCGAAACGAGGCGUAUGAUACGCUGUUGAAAAGCUACGAACGAGGCGCAACUUUCAUAUGUUGGAAUGUUUCGAGAUUCCUUACGGUUUUAAGUUAAUUUUGAAAAUCGUGCGGUGGACGAUGAGUGGCAGCGGCUGUUUUUCGCGAAAUUUUUACGAACAGCUGGUCGAAAUGAUACAAAUCAUACCCCGUUGGAAAGAUAUCGACGAGGCGCAACUUUUUCAUGUAGUACACUCUCACAAAUUCUUCACUGUUUAAAAAAAGUUUUGAAAUUACCGAAAUGCAGGUACUCUGUUUUUCGCGACACCCAACUCGACGAGUGAACUUCAUCAGACAGAAAACCGCACUGCAGCAUAAGGGCAAGUGAACUUCAUGGUUUUUUUUGUCAGACAUAAAUUUUCCAAGACGAGCAAGUGAACCGCAUCAAUACAAAAAAUGAACCGCAACACUUUCGAAAGUGAACCACAUGAGUUACUGUUGAUGUUUUCAUGUAACAAGUUUUUUUGGACUGUAGUGACGAGCCAAGUGCACUGCAUUUUCUAUUUUGUCCUUUUUUGUGUUAACGCAUGGGGACUCCAGAGUAGAGGCAAGUGUACUGCAUUAGUUUCUUUUUCUAACUAUUUUAAUUCUUUCAUUCAAAUGAACCGCUUGAGAACAAUGAAACAAACCUCUAGACAAAAAAAUACAACUAUACUGUAUAGCUGGGCAGUGCAUACUGCAUCGCUGAACUUUUUGAGCUGCAUAAUUUUUGUUCACAAGAGGUGUACAGUACGCAAACCACCAAUGUACCGCGAGCUUCCUGCUCGCAGUUUGUGCUGCAUCCGCACAUGGAGAGAACUGCACCACAACACCCAUUCUCUCGUGGCCAAGAGGGAAGAGGAGCUCGGGGGAGGCAGUCGUGGCCACGUGGAGCAGGGAACUGCACGUCACCCGCCAGAGUGCUGCUUCAUGGGAGGCGGCGAACUGCAACACCCAUUCCACGACGCCAAAGGAAAGACGCCUGCUCGAUGUGCUCUGCGGCAGAUUAGGAGGGAGAGGUGGAUGGGGCCGCUGGAUCUAGCACCGGUGGGUCGAUGGCAGCGGUUUCGGCAGGGGCUCGCAGAUCCGGCAGGGGGUUGGUGAUGCCCGGUGCUCUCGUGUACUGCAAAACAGAUGUUGAGCACUGCAAAAGGGUGAGAGGGAGAGCUAGGCUCCGUGAAUCUAGAGCUCGUCAUCACCGUCUUCAAAGGCGGCUGUCGCGGUGUGUGGUUGGGUGGCCGUCGACACCUCCCUGUAGAUCGACCAAGGAAGGAGAAGGAGGGCGGAUCCAGGGAGCGACGCCUGGCGAGGUUGGUGGCUGGCCAUGUAGGAGGCGAGAUCCGGGGCAUGGUCAGAAGAGUGGGGGGCAGCCAAUCCAGUGAGAUGUGGGGGCGCCGAGCCUGGUUUUGGGGUUGCCGGCCUAUGUGCGGUCCCCCUGUGAGCUGCCUCGAGUGCGUGUGUCGCUGUCGCGGUUGUCGUGGCCGGCUUGCGAGGUAACACCGGCGAGGCCUUGCCACCGCGCGGAGCUGCUCAGGCCGCGGCGGCCGGAGACGGGGAUGCGGCGACGCGCGUUCCGGGGGGAGGUGAGGAGGCGGCGCGUCCUGGGAGAAUGAGGAAUCCGGCACGGCUGUGAUGCCNNNNNNNNNNNNNNNNNNNNNNNNNNNNNNNNNNNNNNNNNNNNNNNNNNNNNNNNNNNNNNNNNNNNNNNNNNNNNNNNNNNNNNNNNNNNNNNNNNNNNNNNNNNNNNNNNNNNNNNNNNNNNNNNNNNNNNNNNNNNNNNNNNNNNNNNNNNNNNNNNNNNNNNNNNNNNNNNNNNNNNNNNNNNNNNNNNNNNNNNNNNNNNNNNNNNNNNNNNNCGGCAACGGCCUGGGGCGGGACGGACGGCGCCGGAGAAGGUGGGGAGGGUGGGGCGGUGGAAGGUGUGUUUCGUUGGAGAGAGAGAGGGGAGCGAGAGGUGGGGGUUUGGAUCGGGGCAGGAGGGAGAUUGGUGACGUGCGGGAGGUGGGGUGGGGAGUGGUUGGUUCUGUUCGGUUCAGGGUGUUAUCAGAAUAAGGUUUUAAACAAUUUACCUAUAUAGGGUGCCCCAAACAAUUUACCUAUAUAUAUAUAUACAUAUAUAUAUAUAUAUAUCCAAGGGUGUUUCCGGGUUUGCGAGGCAGGUGCCACCAAAGUUAUGCAUUCUGUACUUAAAGUAUUAAACAUCCCCAAUAUUCCUACAUAUAUUUGGCCACUUUCAGGUGGUUCUUUACUUCUGGCCCCUCUGAUCGAUCUUCGACGACGCGCCCAACCGUGGGCCCACGCGGUCAAAUUUGUGCAUUGGAAUUUUGAACAUCAUAGACCACCCUUUUCACUCAUAUAUAUUUGAGCCACAUGCUGAUGUGGCUGUCUUCUGACCCGCUCUAACAUUUUUUUGCAGCAAAGACUCUGAUGACGCUCAACGAACACGGGUAUAAUAUCUUAACCGUGUGCGAUACAAGUGCGCUAUGAAUCACCACGCCUACGCAAGCGCGAGCAAAGGUGGAGGUACUGGCUCAACCUUGUGCGAUGCAAGUGCACUGUAAAAUCACUAUGACCGCGCAAGCGCGAGCAAAGGGUGGAGGUACUGGCUUAACCGUGUGUGAUGCAAGUGAGCUGUAAAACCACCACAUGUGCAAGCUAAAGGCGGGUAAGUUUAUAUGAAAAUUAGGACGAAUCAUGUGCGAUAGACCAGCUAGCUAGAAAUAUAAAAACAAACUACCCGCCUUGAGCAUUGCAAAAAUCGGUGGUUCCGCGCUACUUUUCCUUAUUAUCAUACACGCAUAUUGUUAUUGGACCGUGCGCGAUCUUGGUCACUCCCGCCCCGCAUCAAUUCCUUUACCCAAAAUUUAGUAUCCGUCGUACUUCAACCAUCGCCCACACUCCUGCAGCACCGACCUUAUAGUAAAAUUGUAGUAGCCGAGGCAUUUGAACCGUCGCCCUCCCCCGUCCACCACCAUCUCCACCCACCAUUACUAAAAUUUUCAGUAGUCGUGACGUAUCCUCAAACACCCCCCCUCCACAGUCCCCCACCCGCCCCCGCCCCCCUCGAACCCUAGCUCGCGGCCGCCGCCGGUGCCGCCAGCGCCGCCGCCAACCCAUGUCGGUCUGCCCGUUCCUCCUAGCUUAGAUAAUAAAGUUCAGGUUACCCAGCGAUUCCUAUACUGUCGCCCCACUCCCCUGAGUUUUUAGAUGAUGCCUGCGGUGUCCCUCCCCGCUAGAUCCACAUCCCCUGCUCCAGAAUGUCGCAGCCUAAGCUCAACUACGUAUCCCGGGGAGCCCGACGAGCGUUCGGCCAAGAAGAGGUUUAUCAUGGCAUCUCCGGCAGACGUUGGCGAGGUGGCCGCCGUUCGCCCCGACCUGUCGAUCCCGAAGCAACACGUCAUCGCGGAAGCCGGCGAAGACGUUGACUACGUUGCCAUGCCGAAGGCUUCAUGUCAGCGGGCUAGCGUAUUACUGUAUCUCGGGAAAGCUGGCUACGACAUCAAGCUCGUCCACAGCGAAGGCUUCACGCGGGCCAUGUCACAGGUUAAGUGGUCCAUCCCCAACCCCUCUGGUUCAACCGCCAUCGAUCUCUUCAACGGCCCUGCCGCUGGUCUCCUCUGCCAAGCGGUUAAGGAUUUGCGAUCUUUAUACACCAUCGAGCCCAUUUUGUCAUUUCUGAGGGACACGUUCUACGGCGGUGGCUUGGGAUCCUCAAUUGCCAAGUCAGAUCUCAUCGACCACGACCACGAGGAGGGCACCCACGAAGGUUCUUCCAAGGUGAAAUAGCCCAUCUGUGACAUCAGAGAGCGCACCAUGGGUCUGUGCUCUUCCAACUGGAAGGAUCCCGUCCAUGGAAUGUGAGGCAACAUUCUAUCAGCAAAUCUUACCUUUUCUAGCUUGCCAACCCGUACCCUUUGUUGUUGUAGCAUUUACCGUGCGGUGCUUUAACUGUGAAGUGUUUAAUUAUUUCGGUUAUGCAAAAAUGUAUUGUUCAAUAGGGCUAUGUGAUGUUUAAGUAUGAAUUGUCCACUUUAGUUUCACGAAUGGAUAUAUUUGGUUGUUUAUAGUGAGUAGAUGCCUUGUUUAUCUGUAUUUGGUUGUUAGGUUGGUUGGAGUGAGCAUUUUUCCAGUUAUCGAGCAGAUGCCUUGUUUAUAUGUAUUUGGUUCUUAGUUUGGUUGCGGUGAGCAUUUGUGCAGUUAUCAAGCAGAUGCCUUGUUUAUCUGUAUUUGGUUGUUAGGUUGCUUUUUUAGCAUUUGUCCAGUUAUCAAGCAGAUGCCUUGUUUAUCUGUAUAUGCUUGUUAGGUUGGUUGCAGUGAGCAUUUGUCCAGUUUUCAAGCAUAUGCCAUGUUUAUCUGUAUUUGCUUGUUAGGUUGGUUGCAGUGAGACUCUGUCCAGCUUUUAAUGCUAUAUUUGGUUGUUAUACUGGUCAUUUAUGCCUUGUUUAUUUCAGUCAUUCACAUUGUGUUGUUCAUUAUGUGCAAGUCGGAACUGUGCCGCUCGACUACAUCAAUACCAGUUUGAAUGGGUAUAUUUGGUUCCAGUUAUUCCUGGUGUAGCUAACACAUGCCCUUUAUUUCAGUUUUACACAUUUAUCCAGUGUGAUGUUUAAGCAUUACCUACGUUUUAUUCAUUUUUAACAAUACUAGUUUGAAUUGCAUUAUUUGAUGGCUGUUAAGCCUGCUGUCGAUAACAUUGCCUUCCAUUUUAUAUCUGCUUUAACAGGAUGCUGAAACCAACACAUUCAAGCUAUCAUUUGGAGAUGAUGUUGUUUACCUUUGCUAUAUUUGUUUGAUGUUAAGGUUGCUGUACUUAUCAUGCCUUUCCACUACUUAUGCAGGAGAACACCGGGAGUGGCCACCAUUUUCCGCCGAGGUUAGCUUCAUCCCUCGGCUUGUACUCCCCCCGUCAUUCCAUAAUGUAGUGCAUAUAGAUCCAGGCAUGGACACUUGUUAGCUUCUAAUAUUGACUCGUUGCUUGUAGGUACAUAUGCCCUUGGCAAGGAUCCACGCAUCGACCCUUUUUGCGUAUGGGGAAAUGAGAUAUUCAUGAACAAGCAUCAAGUGAGGAAACUGAUAAGGAUUAUUAGCAAAAAGAUAUGAAUAGUGCCAAGCAAAUUAUUUGCUUAUGCUCUAUCCAACAGAACAGUGAGUUGUAGGAUGGUAACUACAAACUCUGCAACCUUCUCUUUUUACUGCCCAUAAUGAGUUGUUAGACAACAAUGUCUGAAUCUUUUUCGUUCGCAGUGGUUCCCGAAGCAGUUCACUCAAGAUUACCUCGCAAAGUACAUGAUUGGUGGACACGCAAUGAAGGUUAAAGUAUUUCAUCCAGACUACAAUGAGCAUCGAGAAGUCGUAAUGAAGACAGUGAAGGAUGGACGGGCAUCCAUCACAAGGGGUUGGCCUAGAGUCAUGCGCGCAUUACGCAUGGAGGAGGGCACAAUAUGGGCAUUCCGCUUCACCUUCUCCAGCAACCAGAAUGUCUUUCGCCUCUCUCUUUAUAGUCUUUAGUACAACUGUGGUUCAUCAUUCUUUACUUGGUGCUUCUGUAGUUCUUCAGUAUAUGUACCUGUGCAUCGAAUUAUGCAUUGGUGGUUGAACCUAUAUUUGUAAUAAACACGGUUGGAUAUGAAAUAAGUGAUUGCCUACUUUCAAAUUCAAAACAUGUGAAUUUUAAAUUAGGGAUUAAUUAGGGAUUACACUGCACACGGUUUGCGAAAGUGAAAUGUCUGCGAUAGACGUGGAGAUCAGAAACGUUUUUAGGAUCCACUACGUGUGUGAUCAACUCCACUACACACACGACAUCCUCUUGAAAACUGUUUGCGUUAGACCACCUUGCGCAAACAUUUACCACAUAAAAAUUGUGUGUGAUGGACAUCCUUUGCCACAUAGUUUCUUCUACGCACCGUGUGUGAUGCAUUACAUAACGCUAACGAUAAAAUUGUUAAUAUCGUGUGCAAUGGCAACGCUAUCACAAACGAUUUAACGGGGAAAAUUGUGUGUGAUGUACCUGUGAACGGAAACGUUUUCCUUGGAGCGACUAUGUGGGAUGUACAUACGAAUGGAAACGUUUAGCGGGGACUGACUGUGUGGGAUGUACUUGCAACCGGAAACAAUUUCGUCCUGUAUAAUUGUAUUUUUUAGCUCUAAUGUAUGUAUUACCGUAUUUGAGCGCUCGCCGGUCGCACACGACCUCAUUUUGUCGAGUGUGUGUGCCAGGAGGGCAUAUCCCUGACGGUUUUUGGGUCGUGUGGGAAGAACCCCCUAUCGCCGUCACUCACUUGGCGACGAUUCCGAACGCCGUCGCGGAAAGGAGUUAAAAACCGUUUGUAUAACAUCGACGCGUACCAGUGCAUGAAGAAAGCAAUAGCAAUAAAACUGAAUGAUCAUUAUGCUAAGCUAACGGAUGGGUCUUGUCCAUCACAUCAUUCUCCUAAUGAUGUGAUCCCGUUAUCGAAUGACAACACAUGUCCAUGGUUAGGAAACCUUAACCAUCUUUGAUCAACGAGCUAGUCUAGUAGAGGCUUACUAGGGACACGGUCUUUGUUUAUGUAUUCACACAUGUAUUUAAGUUUCUGAUCAAUACAAUUCUAGCAUGAAUAAUAAACCUUUAUCAUGAAAAGGAAAUAUAAAAGAAGAACUUUAUUAUUGCCUCUUGGGCAUAUUUCCUUCAAGAGAAACCAAAACAAGCCAUCAUGUUUUCCAAUAAAGACCACUCCACUCUGUCAUAAGCCUUCAUCAUAUCUAACUUAACUGCACAAAGUGGCUUCUUCCUCUUUCUCUUCCUAAUAGCAUGAACACACUCAUAUGCCACUAACACAUUGUCAGUGAUCAACCUCCCUGUUGCAAAUGCACUUUGUUCCUCCAAAAUAAUGAUAGGGAGCACACAUUUUAGCCUGUUAGCAAGAACCUUAGAUGCAAUUUUGUACAACAUGCUACAUAGACUGAUGGGUCUGAAUUGUGAAAGUGACUCCCGGGAUUUUGUUUUUGGGAUGAGAACCAAAAUAGUGUCAUUGAACCCCUCCGGAAUUUCCUUCCCACUUAAACAAUCACGCACCGCCUUGCAAACCUCCUCUUUUAACAAAAGCUAGUGCCUAACGUUUUUUAUGGUAUAAACUAUGUUGUCAUUUUUCUUGUCAGCAUUUGUCGUGUAUAAACUACUCCCUCCGUCCCAUAAUGUAAUACGUUCGGAGGGACUAUCAGUUUUGCUAAAGCAUAUCUAGAUGUGCUCUAAGUAUAGCACAUCUAAGGCAUAUAUCAUUGAUUUUACGCUAAGAUUCGUGUAAGCAUUUUCUUUUGUAUUUUUUCUUUUUAUUUCUAGUUUGAUUGAGUCACUUAGAUGUGCAAUAACUAGGGCACAUCUAGAUGUUCCCUAGACAGACCCAUAAACUAUGCUCCCCCCGUAACACGUCCUUCCUUUUAUAGGAGGGGGUAAAUGCAAAGUAGAGGCAGGUUAAUGCUGCCACGCGGCAACAAAUCCCUUCAUUUUCCCGCGUUUAAGCAUUUAGUACGCAGGGGAAUUGAGGGGUUACCGUUAAUUGGUGUGCAAGGAUCGAGGCGCACGACCCCUCUCGAUAGGACGUGGCCUUGGUAGGCCCCUGACCCACCCCCGCACAUCAUGUUGACCGUCAGGUCAUGCGCGCCACAUGGCCAAGUAGGCCCAUGGAUAAGACCGGUCUAGUCUGUCGGACCUUGACUGGAUAACCUUUACUGUGGAGCUCGGGAGUUCUUCCCGCCAAUUGGCCGGUAGCACGGGAAAGAUUUGCAGUGCGUUGUUUGGUUGUACUCCAACAUUUAAAAAACCGAGGUAGUCUACGUCACCUUGAUAUGUGCUACCUCUUGAGCACUGCGUUGGUUUUCCCUUGAAGAGGAAAGGGUGAUGCAGUAAAGCAACGUAAGUAUUUCCCUCAGUUUUUGAGAACCAAGGUAUCAAUCCAGUAGGAGGCCACGCACGAGUCCCUCGCACCUACACAAACAAAUAAGAUCCUCGCAACCAACGCAAUAAAGGGGUUGUCAAUCCCUUCACGGUCACUUACGAAAGUGAGAUCUGAUAGAUAUGAUAAGAUAAUAUUUUUGGUAUUUUUAUGAUAAAGAUGCAAAGUAAAAUAAAAGGCAAUAAAAAUAGCUAAGUGUUGGAAGAUUAAUAUGAUGGAAAAUAGACCCGGGGGCCAUAGGUUUCACUAGUGGCUUCUCUCGAGAGCAUAAGUAUUACGGUGGGUGAACAAAUUACUGUUGAGCAAUUGACAGAAUUGAGCAUAGUUAUGAGAAUAUCUAGGUAUGAUCAUGUAUAUAGGCAUCACGUCCGCGACAAGUAGACCGACUCCUGCCUGCAUCUACUACUAUUACUCCACACAUCGACCGCUAUCCAGCAUGCAUCUAGAGUAUUAAGUUCAAAAGAACAGAGUAACGCUUUAAGUAAGAUGACAUGAUGUAGAGGGAUAAACUCAUGCAAUAUGAUAUAAACCCCAUCUUGUUAUCCUCAAUGGCAACAAUACAAUACGUGCCUUGCUGCCCCUGCUGUCACUGGGAAAGGACACCGCGGAUUGAAUCCAAAGCUAAGCACUUCUCCCAUUGCAAGAAAGAUCAAUCUAGUAGGCCAAACCAAACUGAUAAUUCGAAGAGACUUGCAAAGAUAACCAAUCAUACAUAAAAGAAUUCAGAGAAGAUUCAAAUAUUAUUCAUAGAUAAGCUUGAUCAUAAACCCACAAUUCAUCGGUCUCAACAAACACACCGCAAAAGAAGAUUACAUCAAAUAGAUCUCCACGAGAAUCAUGGAGAACUUUGUUUGAGAACCAAAGAGAGAGAAGAAGUCAUCUAGCUAAUAACUAUGGACCCGAAGGUCUGAGGUAAACUACUCACACAUCAUCGGAGAGGCUACGGUGUUGAUGUAGAAGCCCUCCGUGAUCAAUGCCCCCUCCGUCGAAGCUCCGGAAAAGGCCCCAAGAUGGGAUCUCACGAUUACAGAAGGUUGCGGCGGUGGAAUUAGGUUUUUGGCUCCAUAUCUGGUAGUUUGGGGGUACGUAGGUAUAUAUAGGAGGAAGAAGUACGUCGGUGGAGCAACGUGGGCCCCACGAGGGUGGAGGGCGCGCCCCCCUACCUCGUGCCCUCCUGAUUGCUUUCUUGACGUAGGGUCCAAGUCCUCCGGAUCACGUUUGUUCCAAAAAUCACGUUCCCGAAGGUUUCAUUCCGUUUGGACUCCGUUUGAUAUUCUUUUUCUGCGAAACUCUGAAAUAGGCAAAAAACAGCAAUUCUGGGCUGGGCCUCCGGUUAAUAGGUUAGUCCCAAAAUAAUAUAAAAGUGUAUAAUAAAGCCCAUUAAACAUCCAAAACAGAAUAUAAUAUAGCAUGGAACAAUAAAAAAUUAUAGAUGUGUUGGAGACGUAUCAAUAUGCAACUCGGCUGGUAGAGGUCGACUGCGUUGAACCAGUUUCAAGACUGGCGACCGAAGAAGACAUGCAGCUCAGAUAGCCCGAGGUACAACCGUGCUUGAAGACCGGUUCAGGGGCUACUGGUGGUGUCCCGACUAAGGGGCAUCUCACCAUGAUGACUCCUGGCCUGGUGGGUUGGUCUGGGGACUCCCUUUAUCGGUUUCGUCCUGGGCCACAUAGGGCGGCCCAUGGCGGAUAACUGAAGAUUCCGGACAACUUGACAUACAAGACAAAAAAUUGGAUUCGUGGAGGUCUCUACCUCCUCAUACGUAGUCGACUAGGAUCCAUUUAACCUAGGGUCCCCUGUAUGCUAUAUAAACCAGGGUACAGACUUCUAGAUAGACAAUUUACAAUCUCUUGGUCCUUUGCACUCCCGAUACACUCCAACGCAAUAAAACACAAGCAGGAGGUAGGGUAUUUAUCUCCCCUGAAGAUCCUAAGCUUGGGUAAAAUCCUCGUCUUUGUUACAAUCGUGCCAACCAGCCCAGCUGAGGACAUUGUAUCAAGGGAUCUGUCGGAUUUAGCUCCAACACCAGGGCGGUGGCGGCCGAGCGGACUGGCCCCAUGAUCAACGAGGAAUAGGAGAGGGUGAUGGCCAAGAUGACCGAUAGCGAGUAAUUUGUUUAGUUUGUGUGCUAUCUUAGUUUAAAUUUGAGGUAAUAUCACUAGUAGUCACUAAACUUGCGUUUAAUGUGCGGUUUAGUGCUAGAUCUUUGAAAAUACUUUUUUUGGUCAUACAACUUGUCAUUUGGUUCAAAUACAGUCACUUUGUUCCAGCGCGUGUGUAUUCAGCAUGCAUGGGUCCACUGUAAGCGACCUGCACUGUUUCAGGGCGACACGCGCACAAAUUUUUUUCCCAAACCCCCCUCAAAUCCUGUUUAUUUGUGGCCGCUGCGUGUCUCUGUCUGUCAGGCGUACAGGCACUGGAGCACAGGAGGGAGAUGAUAGACAUCACAACAAAAGAGGCAGGUGGACAGAACUGAGCUGAAUCCUCUCACUAUCCAAUUGGCUACAAGGUGCCUUGGGUUCGAAUCCCAUGCCACCAUGUUUGUUGGAAGUACUGCAUUUUACAUCUCUAUACUGAUUUUUGGAUGAAACUGUAGCAUAGCUCUGUACUGAAUUUUGGGAUGAAACUGCAGUACAGAUCUAUACUGAAUUUUACAUACAAAAUGCAGUACGGUUUUGUACUGAAUUUAACCAUGAAAUUAUCACAAAGAAUGCAGCUCAGUACUGAAUUUUACAACAGAGAUGCAGUACAGACUUGUACUGAAUUUAACCAUGAACUUUCUGCACACAGUGACCAUCAUCAUGAAUCAGACAUAUGCAUACUGAUUAUUACCAGGCAGAGAGAUAGCUCCAAACAGAAAAUGUAUAAUUUGCAACAAGGAAUCACCCAUAUUUAACAGGGAGAGAUAUAGCAGCUUUGAAUAUAACAUGUCCACUGCAGAAAUUCAGUCACCAUGUUCUGCGCACAAAUUCAGUUAACACUGCAGCAGAUAACAAAUUCAGUUAAUUGCCAAUAAAACAAAUAGUUAUCACUUGCCAAUACAGCACAUAAUGUGCAGAUAACAUUUGAAGUUAACAAAUUCAGUCACAUAAUGUGCAGCAUAUUCAGUUAACUGAAUCUGCAAACAUAUUCAGUGUAUGCAGUCUAACGAAAAUUCAGUAAACAUCUGGAACCCCAACCUUACUGAACAAAUUGAUCAACCACCAUCUUAGCGAAACUGUGCCUAAAAUGAUUGAUCUGUUGUUUUGAUCUUACUUUUGCACACAUAAAGCUUCCUCGUUCUUAACCCCCAGAAAAACCCUAGCUUGAAUUGCCAAACAGGAGAAAUAGAUCCUACAAAUGUAAUGCGUACGGCAAAAAUCGUUUACUCACAAUACGUACGUGAAUGAAUUAAUUGUGAUCGCGCCACCAUACAUGAACCCUACCUUGGCGAUACAAGGCACAGAAAAGAUAGCGGGGAGCAGAGGAGAGAAACGAGACAAAGAGGAGAAGAGACUAACCAUAUGACGGCGCUGCUUCACUCAGACGUCGACGACGCGGGUCGUCCAUCUCCUCCAACGACGGCCGCCUUGACACACCGCCUCCGACGCCUCCGUAUCCGCCUCGGAAUGGUCAGGAGAUGAAGCGGUUAGGAGAGACGCGGCAGCCACAAAUAGACAAGAUUCGAGGGGGGUUGGGCAAAAAAGCCGCGAGCGUGUCGGCAUGAAACAGUGCAGGUCGCUGACAGUGGACCCAUGCAUGCUGAAUACGCAUGUGCUGGAACAGAGUGACUGUAUUUGAACCAAAUGACAAGUUGUAUGACCAAAAAAACGUAUUUUCAAAGAUUUAGAUGUUUAGAGCAGCAGCCAGUAGAACAUUCCCUUCGUGAUUGCGACUUUGCAAGCCAUGACACCAUUGCAGGUUUGGCCACUCUAUUAUUUUAUACUACCUCCGUCCCACAAUAUAAGAUGAUUUUGCAAGCUGUUUUAGCUUGCAAAACAAUCUUAUAUUAUGGGACGGAGGAGUAGAAAAGAAGCAUCAAAGUUGAUCUUUAGCAAAAUUUCCUCUGGUCUUGACAACCUAUUCAGCUGCCUGACCACUUGUGCAUAGCGGCAAUCUGCAUCAUGUGCAUCUGCGAAAUAGUUCUUUUACUAUUGUCAGGAGGUAUUUUCUACAUCACUUUGCUGGUGCUUGAACAAUAAUGAUGAAAAAUUCCAUCUAAAAAAACAAUAAUGAUGAAGCUGAUUCGAUUUCAUCUGAAUCAGUUAGUAAGAAAUCGUUAUAAUCCUGUGUGGUGUUCUUGCUCUGGUGGGAUCUGCAAUGUCCACAACGGGCCAAUUCACUACUGAGGAAAAUUCUUCCAAUAAAGGGAAGAUAAGGAGCCAACCUCAACAAGUCUUCAUAAGAAGUUAAGAAUUACACAAAUCUGCAUCUGACAAGGAGGUACCAUAAUAUCAACACCAAUAUAUCAAACUUUAGCUAACUACAGUACAAAAGAAGAUGAUAUGGCAGCUAUUGGCACCAAAACACUGAAGCACCAGGCCUUACAGAUCAUUUCUAUCUCUUGUGUAAUAUAGACUUUUUUCUAGACUUACGUCGAUACUGUUUUAAUUAUGAAUCAUGUCCUCAGGCAUGCCUCCAGUGUGCAUUGUGCAACAUACCAUUAUACAAUAGGAUGACUUCAUUAUUGCAGAACCACUUGAAAAAAGAUAACUCUAAUCUAAUAACUAAUAUGUAUGAUGAUGCAAUAAAUACUAAAGGCCAUAUCAGAGAGACAUGCAUUGAAAAAGAAAUCAUGAAAAAUUGAACAUAUAACUGGAACAUGCCAAAAACGAAACACUACAACCUGGGAGUUAAAACAAUAAGCCAAAGCAAACUUUAUUUUUGCACCUAGAAAUAUCUCUGUAUAACCAUAUCUUUGAAUCCGUACAGAUAUGUAUGUUUGUAAACAGAGAAGGACAGUAGAUCUUACUCUUCAUUAGUGCAGCUUCGAAUAGCAGAUCUUGUACCAAAAACCUAAAAAUCAAAUAAAAUUUGGCAUUGGUAACCUCACUUCUGCAAUACCUAAAUACUGAAAUUUUGCCUAACAAAAACAAAACAUGCUGGAAGGAAAUACUGAGCAUUUAUAUCAAAAACAAAAAGGCAGGGAACAUAAUCUAAUUUUAGGAAGGAGAGUACCUCGACAAACAUCUGUAGGCCUUUGAUCUUCCAUCUCCAAAGAAUAACAAUAACUCAACUGAUAUGGAAACCAAAUAAAAUCCUAAAAGGUACAAACAACAACAACAACAAAGCCUUUAGUCCCAAACAAGUUGGGGUAGGCUAGAGGUGAAACCCAUAAGAUCUCGCGACCAAAUAAAAUCCUAAAAGGUACACGAGUUUUUUUUUAGAGAGCACUCAAAGAUAAGGAUGUCCUUAUUGGCUGAUCACCAGUAGAAAACUUGUGUGUCUAAUGCUCAUAAUUACAAGGUAUUACAUUUCCAAUAGUAUCUAAUGGUAUCUUAUUGGCUUCAACAGUUUUCUUGAAAGAAUUGAGUGAAAGAAUAAAUCAGAUCCACCAAAUUAAGCGUCUCAAAGUACCUGAAUAUCCUAAACUUCUCUGUUCAGUAACUAUCUUCCUUGUACAACACAGUUGCGUUAACAUUUUCACAAGGACCUUGGGCCAGGCCAUCUAAGCUCCAACUUUGCACAUGACAGUGGCAAUAAUUUAACACAUGAUAAAAGUUCUCCAUAGAUAAAAAAUAUAUUUAGAGGGUGUUUGGUUACAGGGACUUAUUGGUGUAGGGAAAAAAGUCCCUUUAAGUCCCAUCUAAACCAAACAGGAGGGACUUAUAGGGACUUAAAGUGGGCAUUUGGGACUUAUGGAAUAAGACUCUCAAGGAGGGACUUAUAAGGACUUAUAGUUGUAAUAUGGUCUUUUAGUCCAUGUUAAGUCCCAGGAACCAAACAGGUAGGGACUUUUUAGGGACUUGGGACUUAUAAGUUGGGACUAAAAAAAGUCCUAGGACUUACGAACCAAACAGGGCCUUAUAUUAUUGAUUCGACAAAUAUAAAUGGAGUAUGCCUCCAUUGUCAUAGCAUUUGAACACAAUUACAUCAAUCCCGAGUGCAUCAUUCUAAGACUGGGUGUAAUCCAUGUGGGAUUUGGCCAGCUGCAAUAAAUCUGAGGUACAAUUUCUUCCCUGGUGUCGUUUUCCAAAUUUAUAACACCUAUAUCACGUUUACUAUUCUGAUACGAUGAAAUAAAUCCAUCAUCAUCGGUGAAGUAGACACAGUUCGCCUUCAAUUGCGGAUAUUCUUCCACGCUGAGACACUGCGUCUGGCUAUGCCCAAGAAACAACACAUGGCCAUGCAAGCCAUUUAUUUCCACAAGCUUUUUUGCUGCCAUGUCAAUCUUAUAUACAAAUAUUUUGCUGGUUUCCUUUAUGUUCUCCGAAUCAGCAUCACCAGCUACAAUGAGCUGUUCCCUCCAAACUUGCAGCAUAUCGCCCCACGGUGCCUGAACAAUGUAUAUGUGCUCACAAAUAUAAUUCUUCAUGUCACCCAGAACCGUCCUCCUUGUGACAGUAGGACCGGAGAGAUCAAAAGCAUCAAUUGCUCCAGUUCGUGUCACUGCAUACAGUAGACCAUCCUUGUAGAUGCAUUCUUGAUAGUUCCAACCUGGCGGCAGAAAGGUCCACCCACAAUCCCCUGCCCUUGCAAAUGAAAUCUGGUAUUCUGGAAAAUGAAUGAGGACCACAAUGUAGCUUCCUGUUUGCGGAUCAGGAAACAAAUAUGCCUUGAAGUAGAGGUGGUCACGGAGCUCAUUGAGAGCAUAAAUUGACGGCCCGUGACGAAGGAAUUCUGCAAGUGCAGUGUACCGUGGCUUCCAUAACUCAUACUUAUGAACAGAACCUUCAUCGUCAAAGAUCGGCUUGACUUGCUCAAGAGUAAUCACUGACGGGAGAACAAUCUGUUCACCAGUGAUUGGAUUUACAAGGUGCAGCUCGGACCUCUCAUCGGAAGUGAUCAGCCAGCCAUGCGAAGAGCCAAUCAGAUACCUACUGCGGAUCGGUGGAUCAGGGAGGGUUAACUUGUAGGCCCUCUUUUCCGCAAGGCUGUAGAGGCAAGCUGCGUUCUCUCCGGCAGAUUCAGAGGUGUGGUAGAGGAGGCAAGGCGUCUGGCGCUGUUUGUGCUUCAGAAGCUGACUGCGUAGUGCAGUGUACACCGAGCGCCAGGAGGAGCAGACAGAGCCUGCGCGCACGAGGUCAGGGACCUCGAGGAGGGCAAAGAUGCUCGAGAGCAUAUCCGGUGGCAGCUCCGGUUCCGGCUCCGGCGAUUUGCCCACCAUAUUCUCCAUCGGCGGCGGGUCUCCUCUGAAUUUGCCGAGUACACUGGGGAAAAGUCCCAUCAGCUCAGCCAAAGAUCUGAAGAUGAGAGAGCACAAACUAGUCGGAUGUCUAACUAGCUGCCGUAAGCUCUUUAUUACGAUACAGGCCUCCAUCGGGGCUCCGGCGAGACUUAUAGGCAAGAAAGAGAAACCAACCGAGGGCCUGCUCCAGUCGGCGACGGAGAUCCAAAUCCGAAUCCAGACACGGAAUUUCGCUUUGUGCUGGAACUCGGGGCAGUUAAAAUCCGGAAAUGAUUCGAGCUUUGGAUCCGACUCGCGGCCUCCUCCGCGCUACAAGAAUCUGAUGUGUAACAAACCGGCGAGAAGACGAACGACCCGGCGAACGAGCUGGGGGCUCCGUCGGCCGCGGCGACGAAAGGCGCUGCUGGGAUUCAGAGGGUGGUUCCCGGACUGGGGGAUAGGGUACUCUUACUGGAAGUGGAAUAUGGUAAUGGCGGACUGGCGGCAUCCGAGAGGGCAAGAAGCGCGGCGGUGGCUCGAGCCGGUGGAACGUCAGAUUUUUUGAGGAAUUGGAAAACGAACGUUUUUCAAGGGAAAUAGUUGUCACUUUAUUCAAAGUUCAUAGCUUCCUCAGUAGCAAUCUCCAAGCUAACCCAUUUGGAAGAUACAUGGAGCCAAAUUUUACAUAAAGAUCUAAUACAACAUUUUCUAGUUAAGACAAGUGCAACUUUAUUCUUCGAACGUCGCAUCCAAGCAACCCUAAACUCCUGAAAAGAGCUCGGUAAAUCUUUGACCUCCUUAAUUAAUUGUUUAUUAGUUGAGAAAUCCUUUUGCACAUUCUUGAUCUUACUCACCGCUCUCUGAGCAUUUGUUUUAAGGAUCACCUUUUGGACUUGUAGCUCUCGAGCCAGGAUUAGAGUCCUCUAAUACGCCAAUAGCUUGGCCACCUAUGCAUUGUGAGUGGAGGGAAAAAAUGCAUGAUCCUGCCAAGAAUGUGCCAUGGUUGCCCGGAAGAACAACACCCCCUCCUUCCAUACCUUGGUGUUUCGCUAACCACCAUCUGCAUUGACUUUAACCCAGCCAUCUUCUGGCUUCCUCCGGUGCUCAUGCGGUGUAGAUACCCGGUGAUUAGUCACCCUUUGUUGAAUAGGCUUUCAUUCUUCAGCUAGGUGGAGAACCCGGUCGCAUAUGUUAGAUGGAUUCUUAAUCCGGUUGGUCUCCCUUGCAGAAGUACGUGCAGCCCAUAGCUCAUACCAACCUCUAAUUACAAUUUUUCUCUCAUCAUCACAUGCAUUGCUAAGCCACUGUAGAAUCCAUGCACGUAGCUCCUCCGUGUUCUGGAUAUAUUUCGGCAAGACCGGCAAGGGUGCAGCCACUGCAUCGCUCAGCAUACGCCAGAAUUUUGCUGCAUGUGGCCAUCAGAACCUGUGUACGAGGCUCUCCUCUCAGCCACACGCAACACAAAAUACGAUAAAUUUUAUCCGUCGCCGGUGUAGCUCCAUACCAACAGCCAGGCCCUUUCUAAAUAGCCUCUGCGCAUGGAUUUUCAUCUUGUUUGGAUCAUUCGUCGCCCAUAGCUUGAGCCAGCAUUUAUGAUCAAUGUCGGGAUUAGAGCACGAGGGUAGUGUUUCACUAGAUGCCUUAAUUGACACUGCGAGAUAAUACGUUGACCGAACCGAGAACCUUUCGUCCUUUGUAUAAUUCCAUGCUCUGAAGUCUUCUCUUCCCGGUCCACCAACUACGAUCUGAUGCACGUCGAUAGCAUCAUCUUCAGUGAGCACCUGUUGUAGCUUUGCCUGGUCCCAUCCCGUUCCUUGGCUAUUUAGGAGGUGCUCCACUUUUGUUAUUCCAUGCACGAACACAGUGCCCAGUGGCACCAUACUGCUCGUCCUUGGGAUCCAGUGAUCAUGGUACACAUUAAUUUUUGAACCAUGUCCUACACUCCAUAUGAGCCCGUGUGCUAGUAAGUCUCUUCCAUGCAUCAAACUGCGCCAAGUAUACGAACAGCCUUGCGGACACGAUGCCGACAUAAUAUCCAUCUCUGCGAAGUACCUCGCCUUAAGAACUCUAGCACAUAAUGACUCUAGGACAGUGAUAAUGCGCCAAACCUGCUUUGCAAGUAGGGCCUGGUUAAAUAACUCAAAGUCCCUAAAACCCAUGCCGCCCUCUUGCUUCCUAGUGCAUAUUUUAUCCCAGGCUAUCCGAUGGACUUUUUGCUCACCUUCAGCUGCACCCCACCAGAAUUUUGAAGAGGAUUGAUAUGAGGUUCUCGCACAUUUUCUUGGAGAGUAGGAAACAACUCAUUGCAAAUGUAGGGGUUUCUUGCAGCCCCGACUUUACAGGAACCUCUCUAGCAUCUUUAGACAGACAUUGUCCUUUCCAUCCAGUCACCUUAGACCUCGAUGCUUCCCGCACAUGUUUGAAACUACCAUCUUUCGAUCUUCCCACCGUAGUGGGCAGUCUCAAGUAUCGCUCAUUCAGUGCCUCCGAUUGGAUACCAACCACCUCCUUGAGAUCCUCCUUGCUUUCUUCUGUGCACCCCUUCCCAAAGAAGAUGGAUGACUUCUGCAUGUUCACCUUCUGGCUUGAAGUAUCUUCAUACACCUGUAAAAAAAUUGUAGUCGAGUCAUAUUAUUUGUAGAUGCCUCCAGGAAUAUUAUACUAUCGUCGGCAAAGAGAAGAUGGGUCACAUUGGGACCAGUGCGCCCAAAAGACACUCCCAUUAAUUCAUUUUCCUGCUGAGCUUGCUUUAGCGGCGCCAAAAAACCCUCUACACAAAACAGAAAGAAAUAUGGAGAUAGAGGGUCCCCUGGGUGUAGACCCCUAGAGGGGAGAAAACCAUCGGAGGUACCACCAUUGAGCUUAACCGUGAAUCUUGAAGACAUAACACAUCUCAUAAUCAUGGUUGUCUAUGUAUGAGAUAAGCCAAAAUGAGCCAUCAUGUUUUCCAAAAAAGACCACUCCACUCUGUCAUAAGCCUUCAUCAUAUCUAACUUAACCGCACAAAGUGGUUUCUUGCUCUUCCUCUUCCUGAUAGCAUGAACGCACUCAUAUGCCACUAGCACAUUAUCAGCGAUCAAUCUCCCUAUUGCAAACGCACUUUGUUCCUCCGAAAUAAUGAUAGGGAGCACACAUUUUAGCAUGUUAGCAAGAACCUUAGCUGCAAGUUUGCACAACAUGUUACAUAGACUGAUGGGUCUGAAUUGUGAAAGUGAGUCCUAGGAUUUUGUUUGGGAUGAGAACCAAAAUAGUGUCAUUAAGUCCCUCUGGAAUUUCCUUCCCACUUAAAAAAUCACGCACCGCCUUUCAAACCUCCUCUUUUAACAAAAGCCAGUGCCUAACAUUUUUGUGGUAUAAACUAUGUUGUCAUUUUUCUUGUCAGCAUUUGUCGUGUAUAAACUACUCCCUCCGUCCCAUAAUGUAAGACGUUUGGAGGGACUAUCAGUUUUGCUAAAGCAUAUCUAGAUGUGCUCUAAAUAUAGCACAUCUAAGUCCUAUAUCAUUGAUUUUACGCUAAGAUUCGUGCAAGCAUUUUCUUUUGUCUUUUUCUUUUUCUUUCUAGUUUGAUUGAGUCACUUAGAUGUGCAAUAACUAGAUGUGCCCUAGACAGACCCAUAAACUAUGCUUCCCCCUGUAACACAUCAUUCCUUUUAUAGGAGGGGCUAAAUGCGAAGUAGCGGCAGGUUAAUGCCGCCACACGGCAACAAAUCCCUUAAUUUUCCCGUGUUUAAGCAUUUAUUAUGCACGGGAAUUGAGGGGUUGCCGUUAAUUGGUGUGCAAGGAUCGAGGCGCAUGACCCCUCUUGAUGGGACGUGGCCUUGGUAGGUGUCGGUUUCAAAACUGGCGGAUCUCGGGUAGGGUGUCCCAAGCUGUGGAUCUAGGAUCAAUGGGGAACAAGGGACAAUGAACAUGGUGUUUACCCAGGUUCGGGCCCUCUCGAAGAGGUAAAACCCUAUGUCCUGUUUGAUUGUAUUUGAUGUAUGGUAUGGUUACAGAGUAGAUCUACCUUGAGAUCAAGUGAGUUAAACCCUAAGGUGAUGAGGUGAUGGAUGUAGCUCUCCCUCUAAAGACUAGAGCCCCCUGGUUUAUAUAGACACCAGUAGGGUUAGCGUUACAAGUGAUCGGUUACAAAGAAGGGAAGAUCCUGCCUAAUCUUGGCUUGGAGGGCACACCACGACUUCGAAGAUUCCUUGUCCGGUCACGGGUCCGCAAUCUAGCUUGGCCCCAUAGUGGCCCAUUAGUCCGGCCUAUACAUAAUGGGUCAAUAGCCCAGGGACCCCUUAGUCCAGGAUUCCCUCAGUAGCCCUCGAACUACCCUCCAACGUCGGGGAUUGUCAUCUGGCAUGCUCCCAAUCUUCGGCUUGUGAGGUGAGUUCUUCAUCUUUUACCUGAAUUGUUCGGAGAAGGGCUUCGCGGCCGAACACUAUCCGGAUCAACAUCAGAGGUUUUAUCACUCAGUAUAGUCCGUAUCAAAACUGUAUUCGUGCCCAACCGGUUUGACAAUCCAAACGUUUAGGACCACACCAAAACACAGUGAGCCCAUCGGAGUUUAAUGCUUACCUCGGGGCAGGGGUCAACUUUGACCGUCAUGCACCUUUUUAGAAGGCACGUGGCCCAAUGCCACCUUCUGUAAGCCCGUCCUUUCAGUUUGAGGCGAAGCGCCUAUUUAUAGAUCCGAAGGUGCGGGGGAUGGAUAACCCAUCCCCUUCACGAAAAACAGCGCUAAAGAAAUCCUCAGGCACCAUGGCCGACAUUCCUAGUUCAUCCUCGCGCCCUCAUGGCCCUCUCCCUGGUGAUUGGACGAGUUGUUCAGUCUCGCGCCUCCAGCUAAGCAAUCUACAGACGUAGGGCUAUCUUCCCGCGGCAGAUCUCGUUCCCGUCUGUGCUGGAUUAAUCUCUGUUGAUGGCCAAGCACUCGCCGAGAGCUCCCCUGCUCCAAGCAAGGAAGAGAGGGUAUAAUUCGUGCCCUUCCUUCUAAGAGGCCUAGGUUUUCCCAUUCACCCCUUCCUACGGGGCUUGUUGGAGUUUUACGGGAUCCAGUUCCACAACCUCACCCCAGGGUCCAUACUGCACAUAUCUGGCUUCGUGGCCCUCUAGGAAAUAUUCCUGAGCUGCGAACCCCACUUUGAUUUGUGGAGGAAAUACUUCUGCCUCAUCCCUCGUACCUGCGAGGGGUAAAUCGUUGAUGUGGGAGGAGCAGAGGUGUGGCGGAUAGCCGGGACGGGUUACCCCGUUGGGACCCCAUGGAAGGAUCCCGAGGAGUGGACCUCGGAAUGGUUCUAUAUCGAAGACAAUCCGAUCUUCGACCCAGUCCAGAUUGGUCUGUCCGAAUACUCAAGCGGCCCGCUAAAGAAGCGGCUCAACUGGCGGCCCAAGAGCCCUUCCCAGCUAGACAGUGAGGAGGUGCACCUUUUGGCCACCAAGAUUUGGCUGCUGACCCACACGGCAAGCUGACUAUGAUCAAAGUAAUGGUCGUCGCCAUAACCCAGUGCGUACAACCCCUCCAACAGAGGGGGCAUCCUUUAUGGUGCUACAAUGGGACCAGUGAUGCGACCCGCUAUAAGCGACAAGGGCCGGACAAUAAAGCGGCCAUGGUCAAGAUAUUAGCCGACCUCUUUAAAGGAGAGGAGGAAGCUUUGUUCAAUUGAAUAUUUGGGAGGGUUGCUCCGGCUAUAAUCUGGCAGACUAGGUAAGCUUCAAUUCUUUGUCUGUAAUUCAGCCGCAACGUCUGAACAUCUGUUGAUUGUACUUUGUUCGCAUAGAGUUGGAGGUGUCAAGUAGAGUCCAUCCACUGCCCUUCCCCUUAGCCGGAGAAUCAUUCCCAGGACGACAAACCGGGUCAUCGUGACGAUCCGGAAAUGUCGGUUGAUUUUGAAGAUGGGGUCUUUUACCAAGAAAUCCUUGACGGCACCAAAGUUGUAGUGACGGCUGAUCAUACAGGGGCUCUUCCUUCCUCCACUGUAAGUGAAAGGAGGAGCUCCUCCCGACCGGGGUGAUUGCCUCGCACCAUCCCGCAUACUCUAACUUCUACUCCCAAGGGUCGCCGCACUACACAUCGAACAACUGUGGGAGGAGCACAACCUACGCCGGCCUAGGCCCCUGAUGGGACAUUCAAGAGGAAGGCCUCCGUUGGAGCAGAAGAAACCGCUCCCUCGGCUCAAAGGUAACAUGCUUUGGGACAACGAAAAGGGGCGUUUUCAAUAUCUUUCGUCCAACAUUUGCUUAACAUUGCAGAAGAAGACUUCCGGCGCACCAGUCCGAGGACUCCCCGGGUGUGCCGAGGCGUGAUUCCAACCUUGGGCCUGAUACGUCUCCAACGUAUCUAUAAUUUUUUAUUGUUCCAUGCUGUUAUAUUAUCAAUCUUGGAUGUUUUAUAAUCAUUUUAUAGUAAUUUUAUAUCAUUUUUGGUACUAACCUAUUGACAUAGUGCCAAGUGCCAGUUGCUAUUUUCUGCAUGUUUUUUACAUCGCAGGAAAUCAAUACCAAAUGGAGUCCAAAUGCAAUGAAACUUCAUGGAGAAUUUUUUUGGACCAAAAGACACCUAAUGGGCCCUGGCUGUGCCUAGGGGGUGCUUCGAGGAGAGCACAACCUGUCGGUGUCAAAAUCGGCCGAUCUCGGAUAGGGGGUCCCGAACUUUGCGUCUGUGGAUCGAAGGUAACAGGAGACAAAGGGGACACGAUUUUUACCCAGGUUCGGGCCCUCUCGAUGGAGGUAAUACCCUACUUCCUGCUUGAUUGACUUUGAUGAGUAUGGGGGUUACAAGAGUCGAUCUACCUCGAGAUCGUAAUGGCUAAACCCUAGAUGUCUAGCCUAUAUGAUUUGUGAUAGCCUCUACGAACUAAACUCUCCGGUUUAUAUAGACACAGGAGGGGCGUAGGGUUGUACAGAGUCAGUUUACAGAGAAAGGAAAUUAAGCUUGCCAUCCACGCAUAAGAGAGUCCCACCCGAACACGGGGGAAGGUCUUCUACCUUGUAUCUUCACGGCCCAUCAGUCCGGCCCAUAUCAAAUAGCCCGGACACCCGAGGACCCCUUAGUCUAGGACUCCCUCAGUAGCCCCUGAACCAGUCUUCAAUGAUGAUGUGUUCGGCAUGCAGAUUGUCUUUGGAAUUGCAAGGUGGGUUCCUUCUCCGCAUACCAAGCAGUCUUCUGAACAAGAGAACUAUAUCCGGCUAUGUAUAAUAGUGACAACCCUCAACCACAAGGAUACAAUACUUAAUAAGGUAUACCCAACGUUGGCCUCUUUGGUGAAACGUCGCGUCUGGCCUCUUUAUUAUUUUGAGCCAAUUUUUGGCCUCCCGCUUCGUGUUUCAGGAUGCAGCCAGUAUUGACACGUCUUGUCAAAGCAGAGAUCGUGCCCCCUUAUUGCGGGAUUUUCAUCAAUACGGGUUUGGGUAAUCCAACCGUGCCACACGCACGGCCCCUUUGGGAAUAGGCGAGUUUUAAGGCUAGUGGGGCCCUUGAUAUUCACUGCCUAUAUAAGCGGAUAAAGAUCCAUCUUUUUACCCCACGCCUUCUUUCUUCCUCAGUCUUCCCAUCCUCGAGCUCCAGUGCCCAAGCCUCAACCUUUCCCACCGCCCAACUCUCCCAGCCAUGUUUGGAUCUGGUUCACAGGGCAAGUGGGUGGCCUCCUCCGUCACAGAGAAGGACAUUAAGGAGCUCCGGGAGGCGAGGUAUUUGACCGCGGAAAUUGCACACAUGCUCCCGACCAAAGAGCAAAUCAUCCCCACACCAGAGCCCAGCGAGAGGGUUGUAUUCAUCCCUCACUUUCUCCGCGGCCUAGGGUUUCCACUUCACCCUGAUACGUCUCCAACGUAUCUACUUUUUCUCAUGCUUUUCCUCUUGUUUUGGACUCUAAUUUGCAUUAUUUGAAUGAAACUAACCCCGGAUUGACGUUGUUUUCAGCAGAACUACCAUGGUGUUGUUUUUGUGCAGAAAUAAAAGUUCUCGGAAUGGAACGAAACUUCAUGAGGAAUUUUUAUAUAAUAAAUAAGAAUUACUGGAGCCAAGAUCUACUGGAGAGGGGCCCCUCGAUGGGCACAACCCACUAGGGCGCGCCCCCUCUCCUAGCGUGCCCAGGUUGGUUGUACCCACGUGGUGGCCCCGCUGACCCUGAAACCGACGCUAUAAAUUCCUAUUUUUGGAAAAAAUCGGGGAGAAAGAAUUAUCGCGAUCCACGAGACGGAGCCGCCGCCAAGCCCUGUUCUUCCUUGAUAGGGCAGAUCUGGAGUCCGUUUGGGGCUCCGGAGAGGGGGAUCUUCAUUCUUCGUCAUCACCAACCCUUCUCCAUCACCAAUUCCAUGAUGCUCCCCACCGGGAGUGAGUAAUUCCUUCAUAGGCUCGCUGGUCGGUGAGGAGUUGGAUGAGAUUCAUCAUGUAAUCGAGUUAGUUUUGUUAGGGCUUGAACCCUAGUAUCCACUAUGUUCUUAGAUUGAUGUUGCUAUGAAUUUGCUAUGCUUAAUGCUUGUCACUUUGGGCCCGGUGCCAUGAUCUCAGAUCUGAACCGUGUAGCGAUCCGACCUCAGACGGUCAAAUCUCUGUGUAUAAGUGUCAUCCUUGGAUCGGUAAUGCUGACACACACAGUACUUGAAGGAUUUAUAACAGAGUACAAUCACACACUUAUUACAUCGAAUGUCUCAAAAGAGAACUUAUUACAAUAAAUAUGGCUUAAGGCCAUCUAAAUAAGAUAACAACGGAAGUCUUGGAAGAUAAAGUGAGUCCAUCAACUCCAACAACAUAGCUGAGUGCACGACAACGACCUAGCGCACCUUACUCUUCGUCUGAAAAGCCUUGUCGGGUAGUAGGUGCAACAUAUGCCAACGGGUGGCUUAUCAUUGUGGGAGCCAGUAAGACAUCGCCGGUGCCUGGAAAUGGGAUAAGACGAAGACAUGCACGCCGGCGGAUCUUACCCAGGUUCGGGGCUCUCUUGUGGAGAUAACACCCCUAAUCCUGCUCUGCGGGGUCUCCGCAUGAUCACUAGAUCAAUACAAGUAGCUACAAGUGCUCCUUGAGCCGUUUGGCUAGAGGAGGAAGAAAGGCAAGGCUAGCUCUCCUCUUCUCUCUACGUGGUGUGUAAAACUAUCUCAGAGAUCAACCCUUUGCAUGGGUGCCCUGGGGGGAUUAUAUAGGCCUACCCCCCAGGGAUACAAUGGUAAUCUGGCUGGGCGCGGGUCCCAGCCGUCAGUGUCUGUGUUCCCCGGCUUCUCCGCCGGCCAUUGGGGCCCGCCGACUGGUGGGUCCCGCCUGCUGCUGGUUACUGUAGCCUCGCCCCUGAUGAUGAGGGCUUUGCUGAGGUAAGCAUGGCUACAGUACCGCCGUCCGGCGGACUCUCACUGUAGCCUUACCUCGUCUUGUCUUCUUAAUGAUGCACAUACUUCGAGGGAGGGAGGUAGCCGGCUAUUGGGAGCCGGCUAUGCCCCAGGCCGACUAGGGGAGGCCUGGCCGCCUUCGAGCGUCUCUCUGGCUGAAGGGGCCCGCUGCCCGUGGGCCGUACUGGCGCCUAUCGUGGGUGACGUCACGGUCAACAUGGCAACAGUGCCAUGCCGGACGGGGGAUGGCUGACCCGUACGGCGCACUGUGGCCAUGCGUGCUCCGGGAUUCAGGGGUGGCAGGCUGUACUGUGGCCACGCCCCGUCUCAUCACCGUUAUGUGGGUGCAGCCCUUGAGGGUGCAGUCUUGGCCGGCUUCCGGGAGUCGGUCUUCUUGCGGCCGGCUUCUGGGAGUCGGUCAUCUUGUGGCCGGCUUCUGGGAGUCGGUCUUCUUAUGGCUGGCUUCUGGGAGUCGGCCAUCUUAUGGUUAUCUUCGGGAAGGUUUUUGAGGUCGGGUCGCCUUCCGGUAGUCGGCCUGUGAGAUAGCCGACCAGGGGAAGGCGGCCCUAUGUGUUGGAUGCUUGAAGGCCCAAUCGGCCUGAUAAUUUUUCAAAGAGCCAGGGGAGUCGGUUAGGCUACCCGUGGCCAUUUACUCCGACAGUAGUCCCCGAAGCUGGUUGGGCUUCGAGGCUGAGAAGAGGACGAGAAGCUCGGUUAGCUUCCUAUCUUGAAGAGCCAGCAGCUAGGAGCCGGCUUCGGUUGGGCGCGCCGUUUUGGCGAGAUUUUGAAGUCUGAAGCGGGAGUCGGCUGGCGCGCACGCCGGGUUGUGGGCCGGCCGCUCGCCGCCCGCGCGCCACGUGGCAGCCUCUGGCCGAAAAAAGCCUGCCAGCCCACGCGCGCGACGGGACGCCACCGCAGGCCGGGGCCCACCACUCCCACGCCUAGGCCCAGGCGUGGAUUCUCUGUGGCCCAAAGCGGGCCGCUCGCCUUCCGACGGCAAUUUCUGCACGUCGUUAGGGCGCAAUAAUCGCAGGACGUGGGGGAGUGGGCGCAGUUAAUCCCAUGUCCCCCCAUGCCUCGCCUCCUCGGCCUCGCCGCACGAGGCUAUAAGUAGGGGGAGCGGCAGGCGCUCGCACGCUCACCCUCGCUCCGCCAUUUUCUUCCUUUCCUUCUCCGUCGCAACAGCCCUUCGCCGCCGCGCCGUCCCUCUAGUCUUCGCACUACCCCGCAGCUUCGCUGCCGCGGGGCCGUGGUUUCGCUGUCGCCACGCCCUUUCUCGUCAGCUUCUGGCUGUCAUGCAGCACCGUGGAGACUGGGACGGCUCCAACGUCCACGCGGACCACAUCGAAUUCCUCUGCAAGACGCGGCGGCUGCCCGGCGAGGACCAGGUGCGGGUCCGUCUUGCGCCGAAGAAGGAGAUCUCGCCGGCGCCGGAGGAAAGCGAGCGGGUAAUCUUCUGCUCGCACUUCCUGCGCGGCCUUGGCCUGCCCGCGAGCGCCUUCUUCCACUCCUUCCUCGAAUUCUACCAGCUCCAGCCGCACCACCUCACUCCAAACACGAUGGUGCUGCUGGCUGCCUUCGUCACUCUGUGCGAGGGCUUCCUCGGCGUCCUUCCCACCCUCGAGCUCUGGGGGGAAUUCUUCCAAUCCAAGCUCGGCACCCGCAUGUAGGGCGUGCUGGCUCAGAGCGGCGCCUUCAUCGCGGUGCGGAGGCCGGCAGCCGACAACCCCUUCCCUGCCAUCAUGUCGAUCCAGUCGGUGAAGCUUUGGCAGAAAUCGUACUUCUACGUGAAGAACGUCGCCUCGCAAGGCGACUACGUCAAUUUGUCGGCUUACGUAGCCGGCCCACCGGCUGGGAGGCGGCCCCAGUGGUCCUAUCGGGCCAGGACGCUGUCGCCGGCUGGAGCCGCCGCCGUCGCCCGACUCUGGGUAAUGAUCCAGUCAGAGGGCCUGAUUGGGCCCGACUUGCUGGUCGCCUUCAUGGUGCGCCGGGUGCUCCCGCUUCAAGACCGCCCUCAUUUGAUCUGUCAAAUGAGCGGCCAACUCGAUCCGAGUCGGAUGUGCACCAAGGAGAUGCCUCAUGACGAGGUGGCUCACAUGGUGAACUAUCUCGCGAACUGCAAGCUCUCCGCAGAGUGGCAGUUUGGCAAGGAGCCGUACUCCCGUGCCAAUCCCCCGCCUAUGGUAUGCUUUCUUUAUCUUCUCUUCUUUAGUUUUGUCACCAAGUUUUUCUUGGCCGACUCUGACCAGUCGGCUAGUCUUGGCAGAGCCCUCUCCUUCGACCUGCGGCUGGGUCAGCGGGGCGGAUCGCCAAUUUCUCCCCGACCGGGCGGAGCAUGACUUGGAGGACCCCGACUUGGGGGUGGCCGCUAUGGACGAUAACACCGAGGCAGGAGGCGGCAAAGCAGGCGGCUCCGGGCUUGGAGCCAGCUUCGACGACUGGCCGGACGACGACGAGGCGGAAAUCAUCCCGCGCCGCCAGCCGGCGUCCGACCAUGGCGCGGGUUCAUCCGCCGCGCCGCCUGCUCGAGGCGGCGCGCAGAAGCGUCGGGCCACGUAGGGCUUGUUCGGCAGUCGCCCGAAGAAGCCCAAGAGCGGGGCGGUGGCGACCAGGCGGGAUGAGGCGGCCAUGAAGGCGGCCCGCUUCCGCAAGGUGGUGAAGCAGCCGCAAAAGGUUUCGGCAUAAGUGUCGAUUCUCUUGCAUAUUCCUUCUUCUUUUCUUGUCAAUUUCUGAAUCCUUGUCUUGACUUAUCAAACAGGGCUCCGCUCUCUCUUGAGCGGAUCGCUGCCGCCUCCGUGGUUGGAUCGGCGGGAGGAUCCGCAAGCACCCGCCGCGUGGACCCCCGUGUCGAGCUUCAAGCGGCAACGGAGCGGAAAGCGCGGGAGGCGCGGGAGGCGGAGGAGCUGAGGGCGGCCGCUGCCAAGGCGGCGCAGGAGAUGGCGGAGGAGCCAGCGAAGGCACAAGCCGACGCGGCGGCCAAGGCUCAGGCGGAGGCUGCAGCGGCAGCGGCAGCGGCGGGGGCCUUGCUUGUCACCCCCCUGCGCGCCGUGGCGCCCGAGAUCCCGGAGCCCCCGCCGGAGGAAGCCGGCGGCGACAUGCCGGGGAUGGAGAGGGAGGAGGACGACGUCGUCGUCCGGGAGAGGGAGGCGGCACCGCCAUCGCCGACUGGGGCGGACCGAGGCAGCCGGCUUGACGCGCCGCCCGUGCGGCCGGCUGGAGGUGAGCCGGCUGCGAGGACGGACCUGGUGGUCCGGUCGCCAUCACGCCAGCGCGCGGGGAAGGCGACUUCGGCGCCGGACCCGCAGAAGGCCGCGGGCUCUAGCUCGUCGACCCAGGAUCUGGAGGUGGCCAGCGCCAGCUCGGGGUGGACGCCGGGUGGUGGGACGGCCGUGGUGAACGUGGCGGCGCAAGAAGUCCGGAACCGGCUUCAGUCCCAGGCCGCCGUGCUGAGGCAGUACAAUCAAGAGUUCCUCACGACAAGGGCGGCCGUUCGGGUGAGUCUUCCCGCUUUUCUGUUUCUUGAUCUUUAUUUCUUCCGUGGGGGCGCGUCAGUGCACCCACUGGGUGUAGUCCCCGAGUUCCGAGUCGGCUACUGAGCAGGCAGCUUGGAACUUCUUAGUAGACUUUGAUUGCUUAUCUUGCUCUUGUUCGCUUCUCUGUCCGACUUGCAGGACUACCACAACCUCCGCGCGGCUGCCUUCAACUCCCAGGCUCGAGAGCUGACCCAGAAGACCGCUGAUCUAACUGAGAGCCGGAGUAAGUGCUUCAUCUUUUAUCUCAUGUGGGGGCGUGUCAGCGCACCCACUAGGUGUAGUCCCCGAGAUUCGGGCUGACUGCUGAGCAGUCGGGUCGGAUCUUUUCUGGCGACUUCUUUCUUAUAGAUUUUUUCUUCUUUGCCAUAUCUGCAGAGGCCAAUGCCAACCUGAGGGAGCAGCUGGGUGGGACCCAGACCGCCCUUCGCGCCAAGGAAGCCGAGUUCGACGCCUUGGUUCACGAGCGUGACCGCUUGGUCAAGAGGCUGGCCGACCAGGAGGAGAGUCACAAGGCGCCCCUGAAGGCGGUGCAGGAAAGCGAGGCAGCCCUCCAGGCCGAGUACGAGACCGAGGCGGCGAGCUGGGCUGAGGCAAGGCAGUCGCUGAUCAGCGGCUACGGCCAGAUCGAAGACUUGGUUGACGGUAGGCCGCCUUCUUCUUCGUUUCUUGCUUGCCGCUUGCCAUUUGGUCCAUUCUCUGACUUUGUGUUUUUUCUCUUCCUUUCUUUCUUGUGCAGAGUACUUCCCUGGUUACUCUACCGCCGCCAACCAGGUCAUCGAGGCCCACCGCGAGGCACGAAGGCAAGCCGGUGUGGAGAUCGCGCCGAAUGCUCGUCGGUCGCUUGAGGAGCAGCUUCUGGUGAUCCAAGCCUGCCUCCAGCCGGCUCACCGCAUGCUUCGCCAUCUUCAGCGCGUUGGGGCGCAAGUGCUGGCCGCCCUCUAGCCCGGCGAGGCGAUUCCCCGUACCCCCAGUCGUACUGCCAACUGGCUGGAGGUAGCGGUUGGCCGCUUCGAGGCCUGGAAGGCUUCUGCAGCUCGGCCAGGCGCCAGGCGAGCGCUGGAGUUCGUCAAAGCCUGGUAUCCCGAGUUGAGCUUGGACCAGCUGGCCACCUGGCGGCAGGAGGCCGACGAGGAGUUGGAGGCAGUGCGGCCGGAUAUCAUCCAGCGCGCCUCGGCAAUCGCCGACUACACCGACACCAGCGCCUUUGCUCCUGAGGUGGAUGAUAACGGCAUUGCUCAGCCGGAGGAGUGGUUCAGGCUGAACCUGGCGGAUGGUGAGGACUCAGCGGAGGAGAUCGAUUCCAGCGACGAGGGCGAAGAGGAUGAGGGAGAGGAUGGUGAAGACGCCGUGCCAGACGGUGGAGCAGCCGGCCAGCCUCAACUUGAUCGUGCCUCCAGCGACGAGGCACGUGCGAGCGCGCCGCCUGCAGCAGGUGAUGAUCAAGCCGAGACUCGCCAGCCGACCACUCCUCCAGCCGGUACUGCCGUCUCCACCGACUGGCCCGGCUCGCCUGUUGCGCCAUUAGUCUGAUCCGCCGCCUUUGCUUUCCUGUUUAUUGCUCUUUGAACAAUAUUUUGUUAAGUUUGCGCAGUUCCACCCACUUGGGGUGUAUUCAAACUAUGUUGACUGCCGGCCUAUUGAAGGUCUUUUGUGUAAAUAUAAUCAUGCAUGUGUUUGGCUUCCCAUUGUUCUUGCUUUUCAUCCUUUGGUUGUUUCCUUUGCCACCCUCCCUUGGUCGCCGCCUUCCCAGCCGGACAGCUGCUCUGCAGUCUAUGGCUGGAGAAGUGCUUGGCCGGUUGGGAGGGCGAGUACUCUAGCUUUCUUGGAUUGUAGCAAAGUAAAUGGGAAGCCGGCCAGCCGGCUGUUCUGUCAGCCGGUAGGCGUGGUGGGAGGCCGGCUUGUGUUAUAUAGGUUCGUUAGUCCUUAGACGUUUUUUCGUGUGGGCAUCCUUUCCUGCCUUUGGCUCUUGCAAGUCAGACAGUCGGUUCUUCGAGCUGCGACUUUCAAUAAGAGAGGGCUCGGGUGCUGGCACACUACUUGUCUGACUGCAGGUAGAACUUUAAUAUAACUCAGGGCGGCAAGUCCCCGGGCCGACUGGUCGAACCCGGUGCCGGACAGAAAAUCAAAUGUAAUAGUACAUUCAUAGGUAUGACACUCGUCAUUCAUAGAUAAAAGAGGGUAGUCCCCGAGUGCGCCUCGGGGGGGCCGUUGUCUUGUAGUUAAUACAAAAGGUAGCGUGGUACAUACUGCUUUUAACUAUAAAAUCUUCUCAGGAGAUUGGCAUUCCAUGGUCGUUCCGACUCCUUGCCGGAAUCAUUCCUCUUGCGUGCCUUCGGCUUCUGUGCGUCGAUCAGGUAGUAGGAGUCGUUGCCUAGGGCCUUGCUGAUGACGAAUGGGCCUUCCCGAGGGGUCGGGAGCUUGUGCUGGCCGGCUGUUCGCUGGAUCAGCCGGAGCACAAGAUCGCCUUCUUGGAAGGAUCUUAGCUUGACCUUCCGGUUGUGGUAACGGCGCAAACCCUGUUGGUAGAUGGCGGACCGGCUGAAUGCUAACAGCCGGCCCUCUUCCAGCAGGUUGACACAGUCUUCUCGCGCUUCCUUGGCCUCCGCCUCCGUGUACAUGGUGACCCGAGGUGAGUCGAACUCGAUGUCAGUUGGGAUGACAGCCUCGGCACCAUAUACAAGGAAGAAAGGAGUGAAGCCGGUUGACUUGUUCGGGGUAGUACGCAGACUCCAGAGGACAGCCGGUAGCUCAUCGAGCCAGCAUCUUGCCGAACGCUCCAGUGGUACGACCAGUCGGGGCUUGAUGCCGGAGAGGAUGAGGCCGUUUGCUCGCUCGACUUGGCCGUUUGACUGCGGGUGGGCAACGGAUGCUAAGUCCAGUCGGAUGCCCUGUGCUGCGCAGAAACGUGCCAGUGCUCCCUUGGCAAAAUUCGUGCCGUUGUCGGUGAUGAUGCUGUGUGGUAUACCAUACCGGGUGGUGAUAUCUGCGAUGAAUGUCAUGACAGUCGGCCCGUUCAGCUUCUUGAUUGGCUUCGCUUCAAUCCACUUGGUGAAUUUGUCCACAGCGACAAGCAGAUGUGUCAUGCCACCGCGCGCCGUCUUGAAUGGGCCCACCAUGUCCAGCCCCCAGACGGCAAAGGGCCAGGUGAGGGGGAUGGUCUUGAGUGCAGAAGCCGGCAGGUGUUGCUUGGAGCUGAAGACUUGGCACCCUUUGCAGCUUUUGACUAAUUCCUUAGCGUCUUCCAAAGCAGUCGGCCAGAAGAAACCAUGGCGGAAAGCUUUGGCGACAAGUGAUCUUGAGGCCACAUGGUGGCCGCAUUCGCUUUGGUGGAUAUCCUUGAGGAUUGCUAUGCCCUUCUCUGGCUCGACGCAGCGCUGGAAGACUCCAGUGACGCUACGCUUAACAAGUUCUCUGUUUAUUAUUGUGUAUGCUCCGGCUCGGUGUUGAACUUGUCUUGCCGAGAUCUCAUCAGUCGACAACUCUCUGUUUACUAGGAAGUUGAGGAUGGGUUGGGCCCAUGAUGGAGCUGUGACUUCUUCUAUUGUCAAUACAGCUACCGUGACCCGGGUGGGUGGGUUGGGUGGUGAUGAGUUGGAGUCGGCCACCGCCUGUUGUGUCGUCGCAGUCCCCUGGCCGACAGCUGCAGUCCCUGGGCCGGGUUCUGAAGUCCCCGAGCCGGGUGCGACUACGGCAGUCCCCGGGCCGCCUGUUGAAGUCCCCGAGCCGCCUGCUGGGUUCCCCAAGUCGGAUCCGACUGCAUCAGGGGCAGGCGGUACGAAGAUGGAGUCUGAUUCUGGAGACGGCUUGACAGACGGUUUGAGGAGGCGUUGGAGAGAGACGCCGGUUGGUAUAGCUUGUCGGGUGGAGCCGAUCCGUGCCAGGGCAUCUGCUUGCUCGUUGUCGGCCCGUGGCACGUGGAGGAACUCGCAUCCUUCAAAGUAUCCGCUGAUUUGCUGGACGAGGAAUCGAUAGCUCACCAUGUUUGUGUCCUUGGCGUCCCAGUCGCCGGAUGACUGCUGGACUACCAAAUCCGAGUCGCCAUAGCACAGGAUCCGGCGUAUGCCGAGCUCUUUGGCUAGCCGGAGCCCGUGUAUGAGUGCCUCAUACUCAGCCACAUUGUUGGAGGCGGCAAAAUGAAUUUGCAGUGUAUAUCUGAGUUUGUCGCCCUUGGGAGAGGUGAGGACGAUGCCGGCUCCCAAGCCGGUGCGCAUCUUGGAUCCAUCGAAGUGCAUACAAUGGUCUCUUGGAGAUCCAUAUGAUGUAACUCUUUUUGCGGUGUGUUUGUUGGGAUCUGAUGAACUUUGAGUUUAUAAACAUUUAUAUCUUUUUAUUUCCAUGGAAGUAUUUGAGUUUCUUUGAUCUCUUUUAUGCAUGAUCUCUUAUAGCCUCGUAUUUCUUCUCUGAUAUUUGGGUUUUGUUUGGCCAACUUGAUCUAUUUAUCUUGCAAUGGGAAGAGGUGCUUUGUAGUGGGUUCGAUCUUACGGUGCUUGAUCCCAGUGACAGAAGGGGAACCGACACGUAUGCAUCGUUGCUACUAAGGAUAAAACGAUGGGGUCUAUCUCUACAUAGAUAGAUCUUGUCUACGUCAUGUCAUCAUUCUUAUUGCAUUACUCCGUUUCCCCAUGAACUUAAUACACUAGAUGCAAGCUGGAUAGCGGGUUAUGUGUGGAGUAAUAGUAGUAGAUGCAGGCAGGAGUCGGUCUACUAAUCUUGGACGUGAUGCCUAUAUAAUGAUCAUUGCCUGGAUAUCGUCAUGAUUAUUUGAAGUUCUAUCAAUUGCCCAACAGUAAUUUGUUCACCCACCGUUUUCUAUUUUUCUCGAGAGAAGCCACUAGUGAAACCUACGGCCCCCCGGGUCUCUUUCUCAUAUAUUUGCCUUUGCGAUCUACCUUUCCUUUGCAUUUAUUUUCAGAUCCAUUAAACCAAAAAUACAAAAUUACUUUGCUGCACUUUAUUUUAUUUGCGAUCUAUUUAUCCAAUCUAUUACAACUUUCUCCCGUCCACGCACCAAUUUGAGGCGCCGUUACCCGAAAGGGAUUGACAACCCCUUUAACACGUCGGGUUGCGAGUGGUUGUUAUUUGUGUGCAGGGGCUGUUUACGUUGUGUUUCUUGGUUCUCCUACUGGUUCGAUAACCUUGGUUUCAUCACUGAGGGAAAUACCUACCAUCGCUGUGCUGCAUCAUCCCUUCCUCUUUGGGGAAAUAUAGACGUAGUCCUAGCCGACAUCAGGGCCCUUGGCGCAGGCUAUUGACCCUGCCGAACAUACAGUGGCUGGCGCACAUCCAGAGGACCCUGGCGAUGUUUCAGUGACGAGCUCCGAGGUUGAAAGUGUUAUGAAUCACCGCCGCCGGAGAGAAUCCUUGCGCCAUGCUGCCUUUACCGAUCAGGAGUUUAACGCAUUUAAUUCGGUGGACGCGUACCUUGGAGCGGCCCCAACCGGGAUUGAAGGGAUGACCGGUCUCUUUUCUUAAAAAAUGCAGGUGCGAGAUAGCUUAAAAGCAGUUUAUAGUUCUUAACCUAACAGCCCCCACUCCUUAAUUUGGGUGGGACAACCGAGUUAAGGAUCCUUAUAUUGUCUUGAUUUUGCAGGCGGUGAGGGAGCAGAACAGCAAGUUGUCCGAAGACCUCAAGCUGAGCCGAACACAGUUAGCCGGCGCUAAAGCCGAUCUAGAAGCGGCCAAAAAGGCUACCAGCGAAAAUCCUGGUAAGUGAAAAAGCUUUAGAAUGCUACGAACUGUAUGGCGUUUCCUGCAUAUUGAUGCCAUGCUCUCCGCGCAGCCGCUGAAGCGAUGAGUCAAUUGCGAAGGGAACUGGAGGCUGGCAAACGAGUGCUGACACAAAGUCAGGAAGAUAAGAAUGAGCUCAAGGCGGAAAAACACCGAAAAGCCAAGGAAAUUGAGCAAUUGAAGUCUUAGUUGGCUCAGACCUUGUAGGAGAAUCAACAGCUAAAAGGUGGUACAUUCGGCAAGUCACGGAUUCGAUAUCACGCGUAUGUGGGUGAUCACAAUAUGUUGAAACACGUGCUCCCCUGUUUGCUAGGUCUCCUAACAGGGCGGCCCGAAGAGGAGGUGGGUUCCUUUAGUGGGAACCUUUUGAAGGAACUGACCAAGGCGCAUGAACGAGCCCAGAAGGCCAUGAAAAGCAUGGUUAAGGCACUAUGGCUACUGGAAGUGCCACCAGAGAGCAUGGCUGAACUGGCUAGCCACUUUAAAGGGGCGAGGCGGCACUUUGAGUUAUGGAAGCUGUCGGCCUACCGGGAAGGAGUGCGCGAGGCCUGGGCAAUGGUGAAGACCCGAUUUACCAAACUCGAACCCGAACAUAUGGCUCUAGUGGGACCCGUGGGGCCGGAUGGGCAGGAAAUACCGCUUAGCUUAGUAUAUGACCAAGUGAUGCCCGCUGCUUGGUACUCCCAGAAGGAUUGUGCCUUGGACAAUUUGAUAGAUGGUAUUGAGAAAGAGUAUGGUGCGUGAUUCUAUGUAUCCAUGUACUUUACAUCGCGCAAUUCUCAAACUGUGGUAAAAACAUUGUCUUAACCGGCCAUCGGCUUCUGCCUCCCUGAUCAGUGAUCGGGGAGUGUUCCGUACUAUAUGCCCUGAUGAACAGGGGAUAAUUCUGGUAAACAAGCAAUCCGUCCAUUUGGUGCGAACAGACCGCAGCGAGCAAUGUUAUAUUACAUUGUAACGUGAGAAACAUCUUCCGAAGAAAAUAGUUCCUCCAAGGGUUCCUUUCUUCGGGUGAGAUAUGUUGACCAUACACCGUGAUUUCGGAAGCCGGUGACACACGGAUGUUUCGUGGUUUUUAGGAACCAGGAAUAGUUGGAUGUUGGCUAGCGCCUGUUUAUUUUCACUUCCCUGGAGGCCGACCCAUUAUUUUCUGUAAGAACUCUAGCUUUCGGCUUCACCCAUCUGAGGUACAUAUCCGGAUUACCCGGGCGUAGAAAUCGCAGAGGUGCUCCCUUUACUUCCUAGCCAAACAAUCGGAAACGUAGUGGUAAAAGGAGCCAGGCAACCCAACUUGGCAAAGGACUUAAGUCAAAUAGGUGCAUAUAAUGGCUUGAAAGAUAUGGGAAGGAGAUCAAUUCCAACAACAGGACACAAGGUUGCAAGAAGUAUAUUAUAAUUGGCCGCUUUUAUAAGAAGCCCCCAGGUAAAGCUGGGUAGUACAUCCGAAGAUGUGUACAACGGUGACCUGUCGUGUUAUGGUUUAUCCGAACUCUAGGUCGGGGAGGCUAAAGCUCCAAAAAUUAAAACGAAGAGAAAAAGACGAAGACAGAGUGGGGAGUGUUGAUGACGAUGCCGGAUUAGGCGUAAAAACGAUGAUGAAGCCGAGCGGUGUUCCACGGGUUCGGCUCGAGGCGAUUAUCCCAUCGGCUGCAAAGGCGAUAUGCCCCACCAGCGAGUACUUCAUCUUUAAUGAAGGGGCCUUCCCAUUUAGGUGAAAGCUUGUGCUUC
rnacentral:lncRNA from 1 species